UCACCAGCACCUACCGGCCUGUCGCCUGCCUUUCUGCGCUUCUCUCUUACCGUUCUGCUACGAGUUAAACACAGGAGCCGCCGACAAGACGCCGCGGCCCCACGCCGGGGCUGUCACGGAGGGACUAUAUGAUGUAUACAUGCGCGCCGACCGCUCCCCCCGUCGGGCGCGGCCGUGCCACGUGACCGGCGGUACUGAGGACGCUGCCCCCGCCCCCCCCCGCGGGGAGCGUUGGGGGAAAUUUUACCCGCCAACAGAGACGCGGAGCUCGCGAGGAAGACGUCACGCAGCUCGCCACGUGGGAAGGGCGGCGCUCAUUGGCUACGGGCGAGUCGUUCACGUUCCCCAUAUCAUUCGAGUGAUGGGAGCAUUAAUGGAUCACCUAUAGAGCCUUGCGGCCAUAAAGAGCAGUGUCACCUUGGAUAGCUUUCAAAGUGCGGUUUCGCGUUUUAUCUGAUCCAACUCAACUUGCUUCUAGGAAAGAAGUCAGACCUCUUCCCCCACCCUGUUCCUGCUAAACAGUUCCACCAGCUGGCCUGGCCCCCACUGAGACAGCUCACAGCCAGAAACUCACAUGGGCCAACAGUUUUCCGCUGGCUUCAGUUCCUUCACCAUCAUUUCAGUUUGGUCACACAAGCACUGGACAGCUCCGGUGAGCUCGGAAUUUCGAUACCUGUGUCCUCCCUCACUGUGUCAGAGUUAUCCAGCUUCAAAAGGUUGAUUUUCCACAUUGCAAGCCUCACAGCACCAUCAGCUCUGAGAGCUGUGGUGGAACCUUGCUUAUUCCAACAUCAUCAUUCUGCAGCUCAGCUUGCUCUCAGCUACUUGUGCGAAAGGCUCCACUAUUUUGCAGUUCAGGCCUCAGUCGUAUUUGUGUAAAACCAUAGCCUUCACCACAUUUGCUCAGGUCUAACUGCCUGGAAUGUCUUAAACAACUUGACUGAUAAUUUGCGAGGAUGAAGUGUGACCCAAUUUCUGCUUUUAGCAGUCUGGUCUUAGCAUUGUCACUACAAAGCAGAGUAUGUUACUUCACAUCUGUAACAUGAACACUGGCUGCUGAAUUAAAAAGGGCAAUUUUCCUUC